UGCCCGAAAGGGUGACGAAGCGACGCCGCGUGAGCGAAGAAGGCCUUAGGGUUGUAAAGCUCUGUCGAGGGUUAUGAAAUAUAGAUAGGUUAAUACCUUAUCUAUUUGACAAAGGCCCAAAAGGAAGCCACGGCUAACUCUGUGCCAGCAGCCGCGGUAAUACAGAGGUGGCAAGCGUUGUUCGGAAUUAUUGGGCGUAAAGAGCACGUAGGUGGUUUUGUAAGUCAGGUGUGAAAGCCUUCUGUUCAAAGGAAGAACGGCAUCUGAAACUGCGAAUCUUGAGUGUAGGAGGGGAGAGUGGAACUUCUGGUGGAGCGGUGAAAUGCGUAGAUAUCAGAAGGAACGUCGGCGGCGAAAGCGACUCUCUGGCCUAUUACUGACACUGAGGUGCGAAAGUUAGGGGAGCAAACGGGAUUAGAUACCCCGGUAGUCCUAACCGUAAACGAUGGGCACUAAGUAGAGGGGU
rnacentral:rRNA from 1 species